rnacentral:rRNA from 1 species
CNGGGGAUCCAUUGAUUGGGUGGCCAAAUCAUCGGCCUAAGUNGCAUAAAGAGACCAUUAUCCUUUCGAGNUCAUGAGGCCAUNUGUGCCAGCAGCCGCGUAAUUCCACUCCAUAGCGAUAUUAAAGUGUUGCAGUAAAAAGCUCGUAGUGGAUUGUGGCGCUUCCUGCAGUCCAAUUAGCUUGGUGCUAGCGGGUGGUGCCAUCUUUGGGUGGAACCUGUGGGGCAUUAGCUUGUUUUGCAGGGGAAAUUCAUCGUUUACUGUGAAAAAAUUAGAGUGUUCAAAGCAGGCUUAUGCCAAUGAAUAUGCUAGCAUGGAAUAAUGAAAUAGGACUUUUGGUACUAUUUUGUUGGUUUGCGCGCCAAAGUAAUGAUUGAUAGGGACAGUUGGGGGUAUUCGUACUCCAUAGUCAGAGGUGAAAUUCUUGGAUUUUUGGAAGACGAACUACUGCGAAAGCAUUUACCAAGGAUGUUUUCAUUAAUCAAGAACGAAAGUUAGGGGAUCGAAGAUGAUUAGAUACCAUCGUAGUCUUAACCAUAAACUAUGCCAGUUAGGGAUUGGCAGGGUAUCGUUACGUCCCUGUCAGCACCUUAUGAGAAAUCAUUAAACUUUUGGGUUCCGGGGGGAGUAUGGCGCAAGGCUGAAACUUAAAGAAUUGCGAAGGCCCACCAG